rnacentral:rRNA from 1 species
UGUUCCUUGAGGAGUGGCUUCCGGAGCUAACGCGUUAAGUCGACCGCCUGGGGAGUACGGCCGCAAGGUUAAAACUCAAAUGAAUUGACGGGGGCCCGCACAAGCGGUGGAGCAUGUGGUUUAAUUCGAUGCAACGCGAAGAACCUUACCUACUCUUGACAUCCACAGAACUUUCCAGAGAUGCAUUGGUGCCUUCGGGAACUCUGAGACAGGUGCUGCAUGGCUGUCGUCAGCUCGUGUUGUGAAAUGUUGGGUUAAGUCCCGCAACGAGCGCAACCCUUAUCCUUUGUUGCCAGCGGUCCGGCCGGGAACUCAAAGGAGACUGCCAGUGAUAAACUGGAGGAAGGUGGGGAUGACGUCAAGUCAUCAUGGCCCUUACGAGUAGGGCUACACACGUGCUACAAUGGCGCAUACAAAGAGAAGCGACCUCGCGAGAGCAAGCGGACCUCAUAAAGUGCGUCGUAGUCCGGAUUGGAGUCUGCAACUCGACUCCAUGAAGUCGGAAUCGCUAGUAAUCGUAGAUCAGAAUGCUACGGUGAAUACGUUCCCGGGCCUUGUACUCACCGCCCGUCAA